rnacentral:rRNA from 1 species
NNUUGAUCGCUCCAACCGUUACUUGGAUAACUGUGGGCAAUCUAGAGCUAAUACAUGCAAACGAGCGCUCUGACCCUCCGGGGAUGCGUGAUUUAUUCAGACCAAAACCCCAUCCGGCGGCGCCCGCGCCCCGGCCGCUUUGGUGACUCUAGAUAACCUCGGGACGAUCGCGCGCCUCGGCGGCGGCGAUAUCUCAUUCGAAUGUCGGCCCUAUCCAACUUUCGAUGGUAUAUAAGGUGCCUACCAUGGUGACCAACGGGUAACGGGGAAUCAGGGUUCGAUUCCGGAGAGGGAGCCUGAGAAACGGCUACCACAUCCAAGGAAGGCAGCAGGCGCGCAAAUUACCCACUCCUGACACGGGGAGGUGGUGACGAAAAAUAACCAUACAGGACUCUUUCGAGGCCCUGUAAUGAGAAUGAGUACACUUUAAAUCCUUUAACGAGGAUCCAUUGGAGGGCAAGUCUGGUGCCAGCAGCCGCCGGUAAUUCCAGCUCCAAUAGCGUAUAUUAAAGUUGCUGCAGUUAAAAAGCUCGUAGUUGGAUCUCGGAUCGGGCGGGUGGUCCGCCGCGAGGGCGAGCUACCGCCUGGUCCCGGCCCCUGCCGGUCGGCGCCCCCUCGAUGCUCUUAACUGAGUGUCCCGCGGGGUCCGAAGCGUUUACUUUGAGAAAAUCAGAGUGUUCAAAGCAGGCCCGGUCGCCUGACAGAGUGUUCAAAGCAGGCCCGGUCGCCUGAAUGCUGCAGCUAGGAAUAAUGGAAUAGGACUCCGUUUCUAUUUCGUGGGUUUCCUGAAUCCGGGGGCCAUGAUUAAGAGGGACGGCCGGGGGCAUUCGUAUUGCGCCGCUAGAGGUGAAAUUCUUGGACCGGCCGCAAGAGGACGAAAGCGAAAGCAUUUGCCCAAGAAUGAUUUCAUAAUUCAAGAGCGAAAUCAAGAAUGUUUUCAUUAAUCAAGAACGAAAGUCGGAGGUUCGAAGCGAUCAGAUACCGUCUAGUUCCCGACCAUAAACGAUGCCGACUGGCGAUCGGGCGGGCGUUAUCCAAUGACCCCGCCCGGCAGCGACCCCGAAACCAAAGUCCUUUGGGUUCCGGGGGGAGUAUGGUUGCAAAGCUGGAACUUAAAGGAAUUGACGGAGAAAGGGCACCACCAGGAGGGGAGCCUGCGGCUUAAUUUUGACUCAACACGGGAAACCUCACCCGGCCCGGACACGAAGGAUUGACAGACUAGCUCUUUCUCGAUUCUGUUGGGGGGGGUGCAUUGGCCGUUCUUUUAGUUGGGGAGCGAUUUGUCUUGGUUAAAUUUCCGAUAAAGAACGAGACUCCGACAUGCUAACUAGUUACGGGACCCGGUGCGGUCGCCGUACAAUUCUUAGAGGGACAAGUGGCGUUCAGCCACACGAGAUUGAGCAAUAACAGGUCUGUGAUGCCCGCACGCUAACUAGUUCCGCGGCCCCGUGCGGCCGGCGGCCAACUUCUUAGAGGGACAAGUGGCGUUCAGCCACGCGAGAUUGAGCAAUAACAGGUCUGUGAUGCCCUUUGAUGUCCGGGGCUGCACGCGCGCCACACUGAGUGGAGCAGCGUGUGCGCACCCUUCGCCGAGAGGCGUGGGUAAACCCGCUGAAACCCCAUGCGUGCUGGGGAUUGGGGAUUGCAAUUAUUUCCCAUGAACGCAGAUUUUCCCAGUAAGAGCGGGGGUCAUAAGCUCCGGGCCAGCGUGUGUCUACCCUUCGCCGGCAGGCGCGGGUAACCCGCUGAACCCCGCUCGUGAUGGGGACUGGGGAUUGCAAUUAUUUCCCACCAACGAGGAAUUCCCAGUAAGCGCGGGUCAUAAGCUCGCGUUGAUUUAAGGUCCCUGCCCCUUGUAUACACACCGCCCGUCGCUAC